UACUUUUGUCGCCAGAGGACUGCGUCUGGAGGAGGUGCGCCUAAGCAUCCCGCGGAGCAGGUUGACUGAAGUGGAGCGUGGAGCCCGGCGCAGGAGGCGGGACUCUCGGAGGGUACAACACAGAAGAGAAAAAAUGGCCAUUGUCCAUUUAGAAGGGAAGUUUGAGGUACCCGGGGAGUCCUUGAGAAGGCACCAGAGCAGCAGUUCCAGGCAGUUGUGAGCUGCCAGAUAUGGGCUCAUGGAACAAAACUGGGAUCCUUUGCCACCGCAGAUUUCAUUUUGUUUUGUUUUUAGACAGGGUUUUGAGUAGCCCAGGUGAUCCUGGUAAGCCACUUAGGGGGAAGCUGUCCUCACCAUCCCAGAUUUAGUACACAUGGAGAGCUUUGCAGUCUUCAAAGGGAGUUGAAGCCUGCCUCAGCAGUCAUGUCUCAUGCACACCUGCAUCCCUAGCCCAGGCCCCUCUCCUAGGGAGGCCCUUUCCUAGACGUCUUUAUCAAAGGGUAAAACCUUGAAGACAUUUAAUCCCUACUGUAAAGCAGUUCUCGGUACUUUCCCACCCCUAGCCUGACCUCCAUCUUCCUCUCUGUGCUCAGUCUAUAAAAUGACGGGAAGUUUUGGUUCAGUGUUCUCUUGGCAUUGAGAUGAUUUCCCCCAUCAGGGUUGAUUUUCUCUCACAGUGGGAUUCCCUGGAGGAAAUUCAACAGGGAAGGGGGCGGAGCUGGCACUUUAUCCCAAAUUGCCCUUUGCUAAUACUACAUGGUUAAUAAACAGUUAAAAGUUUAGCUGUGACUUCCAUGUCGGCUCCUUGUCUUAAACCUGGUAGCCCUGCAGCUUCAGGCCCUCCCACUCUUGGGCAUAGGUAUUCUGUGCCUGUAUCAGUUAUGCCAAAUACUUGGUGUAAUAAUGUUGUGUAAAUCCUCUAUGUCGCUACUGAUCGAUUUGUUUAUUUUGUCAACCUAUGCUUUUACAUUCUGAAUGAAAGAUGUUACAAUUUCCUCUUUUAAAGUAGCUAUGUAUGUGUGUGGUAGGAUGGGGGGUGUGGACACAGGUGUGGGCCUGCCAUGGGGUACACAUGGAAGUCGAACAGCCUGAGGACUUAGUUCCUGCUUCCCUCUACGCGGGCUCUGGGAUCCAGAUCAUGUUGCUGGGCUUGGGAGUUCCUUUAGCUGAUGAGCCCACGAGUUCUAACUGUAGAGCUGUCUCUUCCGUUAGUUUUCUUGAUUUUUGAAAUUUGAAUUUUUGAUAUUUGAAAUACGGUCGGGGUCUCUGGGUAACAAGUUGAUCCUGUUUGUUGCUUACUUGUUGGUGACCCGGUGGGUUUCACUGGGGUUGCGUAUAAGAACAGGCAACCAUAAACUGCUUAUAGAUCCCCAAGAAAAGGUGGGGAAUCGAUCUUCUUUAAGUCUAGCAUUAUCUUACUUUUGUUUUUAUAAUUAAAGUGUAUUUCCUAAGUUUUAUCACUCCCCUGGUUUUAAACGUUUAAAUUGUUGCUAGUAUAAUUUACUUUAAAGAUUUAUUUAAUGUAUAUAAGUACAUCAUUGCUCUCUUUAGACGCACCAGAAGAGGGGCAUCAGAUCCCAUUAC